AGAGUUUGAUCCUGGCUCAGGAUGAACGCUGGCGGCGUGCCUAAUACAUGCAAGUCGAACGAAGUACUUCGGUACUUAGUGGCGAACGGGUGAGUAAGACGUAAGCAACCUGCCUAUGGGACUGGGAUAACGUUUGGAAACGAACGCUAAUACCGGAUAGGUAACACUUUGGCAUCAAGGAGUUAUUAAAGUUUAGAUACACCGAUAGAUGGGCUUACGGCGCAUUAGCUAGUUGGUGAGGUAACGGCUCACCAAGGCGACGAUGCGUAGCCGGACUGAGAGGUUGAACGGCCACAUUGGGACUGAGACACGGCCCAAACUCCUACGGGAGGCAGCAGUAGGGAAUUUUCGGCAAUGGGGGAAACCCUGACCGAGCAACGCCGCGUGAGUGAAGACGGCCUUCGGGUUGUAAAGCUCUGUUGUAAAGGAAGAAUGUUAUCGAUAGAAUCGAUAAGUGACGGUACUUUACCAGAAAGCCACGGCUAACUACGUGCCAGCAGCCGCGGUAAUACGUAGGUGGCGAGCGUUAUCCGGAAUUAUUGGGCGUAAAGGGUGCGUAGGCGGUCUGUUAAGUAUAAGGUGAAAGCGUGGAGCUCAACUCCAUACAGCCUUAUAAACUGGCGGACUAGAGUGCAGGAGAGGUUAGUGGAAUUCCAUGUGUAGCGGUAAAAUGCGUAGAUAUAUGGAGGAACACCAGUGGCGAAGGCGGCUAACUGGCCUGUAACUGACGCUGAGGCACGAAAGCGUGGGGAGCAAAUAGGAUUAGAUACCCUAGUAGUCCACGCCGUAAACGAUGGAUACUAAGUGUUGGGGAAACUCAGUGCUGCAGUUAACGCAAUAAGUAUCCCGCCUGGGGAGUAUGCACGCAAGUGUGGAACUCAAAGGAAUUGACGGGGGCCCGCACAAGCGGUGGAGUAUGUGGUUUAAUUCGAAGCAACGCGAAGAACCUUACCAGGUCUUGACAUCGAUCUAAAGGUCCUAGAGAUAGGAAGAUAGUUAUAGAGAAGACAGGUGGUGCAUGGUUGUCGUCAGCUCGUGUCGUGAGAUGUUGGGUUAAGUCCCGCAACGAGCGCAACCCUUGUCGUUAGUUACCAGCACGUGAAGGUGGGGACUCUAACGAGACCGCCGGUGACAAGCCGGAGGAAGACGGGGAUGACGUCAAAUCAUCAUGCCCCUUAUGACCUGGGCGACACGCGUGCUACAAUGGUAGGGACAAAGAGAAGCGAGAUAGAGAUAUGGAGCGAACCUCAAAAACCCUAUCGUAGUCCGGAUUGCAGUCUGCAACUCGACUGCAUGAAGCUGGAAUCGCUAGUAAUCGCAAGUCAGCCAUAUUGCGGUGAAUACGUUCUCGGGCCUUGCACACACCGCCCGUCA
rnacentral:rRNA from 1 species